rnacentral:rRNA from 1 species
CUCGUAGGCGGUUCAACAAGUCGGUCGUGAAAGCCCGGGGCUCAACCCCGGGACGCCGGUCGAAACUGUUGUGACUAGAGUUCGGUAGAGGUGAGUGGAAUUCUCAGUGUAGCGGUGGAAUGCGCAGAUAUUGAGAGGAACACCAUUAGCGAAGGCGGCUCACUGGGCCGAUACUGACGCUGAGGAGCGAAAGCGUGGGGAGCAAACAGGAUUAGAUACCCUGGUAGUCC